rnacentral:misc_RNA from 1 species
GCAAACUUGGUCAUUUAGAGGAAGUAAAAGUCGUAACAAGGUUUCCGUAGGUGAACCUGCGGAAGGAUCAUUAAUGAAUUUCGGAUUGUGCUGGCUUUGCAAGUGCACGUCCAUUCAUCCAAACCCCUUGUGAACCUUUGACCUGACGCCCUUGGGCAGAUGGUAUUACACAAACUCUUUAUUAUGUAUGUGACUAGUCUAAGGCAUUAGCCUAAUACUAUACAACUUUCAACAACGGAUCUCUUGGCUCUCGCAUCGAUGAAGAACGCAGC